CUACGGGAGGCUCCAGUGAGGAAUAUUGCACAAUGGGGGGAACCCUGAUGCAGCAACGCCGCGUGGAGGAUGACGCAUUUCGGUGUGUAAACUCCUUUUAUAUGUCAAGAAAACGACGGUAGCAUAUGAAUAAGCACCGGCUAACUCCGUGCCAGCAGCCGCGGUAAUACGGAGGGUGCAAGCGUUACUCGGAAUCACUGGGCGUAAAGGACGCGUAGGCGGGUUGGAAAGUCAGGUGUGAAAUCCUACAGCUUAACUGUAGAACUGCACUUGAAACUUCUAAUCUAGAGUAUGGGAGGGGGAGAUGGAAUUAGUGGUGUAGGGGUAAAAUCCGUAGAUAUCACUAGGAAUACCUAAAGCGAAGGCGAUCUACUAGAACAUUAUUGAUGCUGAGACGCGAAAGCGUGGGGAGCAAACAGGAUUAGAUACCCUCGUAGUC
rnacentral:rRNA from 1 species